GAGACACCUUUAUGGAGCAGGACUUGUUUUAGUGGGGCUUUGGUGCUCACUAAGUCUGCCCCUUGAGUGUAUCACU
rfam:Myotis davidii contig182399, whole genome shotgun sequence.